GUCUCGCUAGCCCAGUUGGUGGAGGCAUCAGCAGUAUAGAUGCCGAAAGUCAUAGGUUCAAAUCCUGCCUGCGAGAAA